ACUCUCUCUCUCUCUCUCUCUCUCUCUCUCUCUCUCUCUCUCUCUCUCUCUCUCUCUCUCUCUCUCUCUCCACUGCAAUCAUCCUUACAAUUAAUCCUGACAAGGGUAUUAAUGUCAACAACCCAUGACUCCAUUCUUACCUCUUUACAUCCACUCACUUCUUGCUCCUGUCAACCUCACUUCAUUAUAGCAACUGUCACCUCUAUUAGCACUAUCACUAUUACUAUUAUUAUUACUAUUAUCAUCAUUAUUAGCAGCAACACUUCACAACACUGCUAAUAGAUUAACUUAGCCCAACCUUCAGAUCUGCAAGCAACACUCACUUAAAGAAUAAAUAAAUAAAUGAUUCCUUUGCUGUGAUAUGUGGAAUUAAAUAUGUACACACACACACACACACACACACACACACACACACACACACACACACACACACACAC